GAAAAAUUAGUUAAAUAAUAACAUAAGCCUGUCACGCUUAAAUUAUCAUUCUUCUGAUAUUUUUUA
rnacentral:tRNA from 2 species